AGCCCUUUGCUAAAGAGGAUGUCAUUUAAGUCUCCAAACAGAAAUCUCUGCCCUGCAGCACUGCAGAAAUCCUGGUCAGCCCUGGCUAAAAGCUCAGGCUAAACUUGGUUCCGUGAGUCACCGCUGCACUGACUUCAUACCGCAGGCACGACGGAGCAACGGCGGUGAUGCUGAGAGACACCAGAGCAGAGAAGAGGGGACAAAUAACGAGAAGCAAAAAUAAAGUGCCAGUUUCUCCUCUACGAUGGCUACAAGGAGUCAGCCACAGGAUUCCCACUCUAAUGAUACAAGUCAGACAGCUCUGAGUACCUGCGUGCCAGGAACGGGGCUGUGAGACAGCUGGCUCCUCCAGCAGCGGCUACGAGGAGCGCUCCAGCCGUGCCUGGGUCUGCAGCAUCCCUGGGUGCGGAGGGACGGCGGGACACGCCCGCUACCGGCACCGGCACCGGCACCGGUACCUCUUGUUGGGCAGCAGGGCGGAGCCUUUCGGCCGGAGCUGCUCCGCCUCUGGCUCAGAGAACAGGCUUGGUCACGGAUUUCCUCCGCUGGAGAGAAAAACAACUGAAAUGUUUGGAGUGUCCUGACUUGUACUGAGAAUGAUUCCCAAGAUAUCUGAAGUCCACUGGAAGUAUUCUUGGUUCAGCAGGCAGAACUGACUCAUAUGCUGACACAAAGAUUUUAACAUUUCUUUUCAUAUGAAAUAACAGCAAAAUUCUCAGUGGAAUUUUGCAGGGCCCAAGUCUGGGUGGCUUUGAUCCAGCAUUAAAUUGUUUUCGGUGGCAACAGAGUGCAGAGGCUUUUUGAUGAGUUAUGGCCAAGGUCCUCUGAAUUCUUGAGUUCUCCCCAGCUGCUGGUGCUACAGGAGACUGCAAGAAUUUGACAAAAGUCUGUAUGGUGGCAUUUUGUUUUGUGUUUUUAAUGUUGUAAGAAUGAGAAAAGCACCUGCUCCUUACAAGAUUUUUGCUAUGUCUAAGUUACUGUUAGCCCCUUACCUAAAUGUGCUGUACCAGCCCAUAGGCUGCCCCCAGAGCACAGAAUCAAACCAAACUGUGAAGGAAUAGCAUCUGCAAGUCUUCUCUUCU
rnacentral:lncRNA from 1 species